rnacentral:rRNA from 1 species
GACGAACGCUGGCGGCGUGCUUAACACAUGCAAGUCGAACGGAAAGGCCCUGCUUUUGUGGGGUGCUCGAGUGGCGAACGGGUGAGUAACACGUGAGUAACCUGCCCUUGACUUUGGGAUAACUUCAGGAAACUGGGGCUAAUACCGGAUAGGAGCUCCUGCUGCAUGGUGUGGGUUGGAAAGUUUCGGCGGUGGGGGAUGGACUCGGGGCUUAUCAGCUUGUUGGUGGGGUAGUGGCUUACCAAGGCUUGGACGGGUAGCCGGCGUGAGAGGGUGGUCGGCCACACUGGAAGUGGGAGACGGUCCAGACGCCGAGGGGAGGCAGCAGUGGGGAAUCGUCCGCAAUGGGCGAAGGCGUGACGGAGCAACGCCGCGUGAGUGAAGAGUGUCGUGGGAGCGUAAAAGUGGGUUAGUAGGGAAGAAAAAAUGUGUAAGUAACUAUGCACGUCUUGACGGGACGUAAUCAGAAAGCCACGGCUAAAUACGUG